AUGGUCAAAGACACAACUAAAAGCAUCGAAUCAUCGGUUGUGAACUUUCUACUCAAGGCAUUCGCUGCAAGCUUCGGUGAUGGCAAACAUUUCACUGACGGAUGGUUUGGUAUAAAGGUCGAUUGUGGAUGGAGAAAAGAUGGAUAUGGUGGAAAAGGUGGUGGUGGUUGUGUGGAUGUGAAGCGUGGUGGUGGUAAGGUCACCGCAGGUGAGUUAAGUGUGUGGGUAUACGUGGUUGAGAUUAUGCAGAUUCGAAAAACCCGAGUUCCUGGUUUGAAAAAUCCUUCUGUUUCUGAAGAUUAG